CCUCCCCCUCCCCAGACUGCUGCUUCUCCGUGUUGUUGUUUGAGGAGGGGAUUACUGAUAGAACCAUAGCUUGCGUCUCACGUGGCUGAUAACCUGGUCUCUACAGAAGAGGUCGUGCUCAGAGCCCAUGGUCCCACCAGCUCGUCGCCAGUGUUAGAUCCGCGGAAGAACCAGUCUGAGGUGUCUGAGGCAAACUGGCAAAUCUUCUUGAGAGGCACCACAGUGAGACCUGGCACUAAUCCCUCAUGCCUACUCCAGACAACACAAGCCCUAUAACUCUUCAGUUUCUUGGAGGAAAGACAACGCUUAUCCUGGGAGAUAAAAAGAGUAUCUUUAAUGGACUUAGCAAGGACUGAACUAAUUCCAACUUUCAAAAUGAUCUGGAUAAAUUAUAUAUAUCAUUUCUAAUUUAGUUCUGCUUCUUUUUAUGUAUUCGAUUUAUAUAGUUGCCCAUUUUACUACUACUUCACUCUAGGUAGCUAAUUCUCCAAAUCAAUGACAAAUCUCAAGUUUAUGUUUGGGAAUGAAAUCAGAUUUCACAAUUCUGUUUUUGAACAUGUUAACAUAUUGAAUGUUUUGCAUUUAGCACCAUAAUUAGAAAAUAUACCUACAGUAAUGUCUACUCACAAUAAGUAAAGAUUACUGGUCCGCAUUGUAGAACCAUAUUAAAUUAUUCUUCUACUUCCAGUGGUCCAUAUUUCCCAACAAGUAUGGAUAGAACUGCUCUUCUGUGUAG